rnacentral:rRNA from 1 species
GACGAACGCUGGCGGCGUGCUUAACACAUGCAAGUCGAACGGAAAGGCCCUGCUUUUGUGGGGUGCUCGAGUGGCGAACGGGUGAGUAACACGUGAGUAACCUGCCCUUGACUUUGGGAUAACUUCAGGAAACUGGGGCUAAUACCGGAUAGGAGCUCCUGCCGCAUGGUGGGGGUUGGAAAGUUUCGGCGGUUGGGGAUGGACUCGCGGCUUAUCAGCUUGUUGGUGGGGUAGUGGCUUACCAAGGCUUUGACGGGUAGCCGGCCUGAGAGGGUGACCGGCCACAUUGGGACUGAGAUACGGCACAGACUCCUACGGGAGGCAGCAGUGGGGAAUAUUGCACAAUGGGAGGAAGCCUGAUGCAGCAACGCCGCGUGCGGGAUGACGGCCUUCGGGUUGUAAACCGCUUUCGCCUGUGACGAAGCGUGAGUGACGGUAAUGGGUAAAGAAGCACCGGCUAACUACGUG